CGCUCUGCAAAGAAGGUAUUUAUCUAAUCUAAAUCUAUUUUUUUUUAUUUUCAGCAUCUUAAUCUUGCAUGUAAUAGAUUUUAGGAUAUCAAUAGAUUAGAUCUAUUGCGUGCAUGAUAAAUUAAAAAAGUUUUAAUCUAAGGCUGAAAUUUUUUCGCUGUUAGUUUUUAAAUUUUUGCAUGCACAUCUAGAAGAUGAGAUUUUCUAGAAAUUCUUCAAUUCUUGCGUCGG
rnacentral:lncRNA from 1 species